rnacentral:rRNA from 1 species
UAGGGAAUCUUCCGCAAUGGACGCAAGUCUGACGGAGCAACGCCGCGUGAGUGAAGAAGGAUUUCGGUUCGUAAAACUCUGUUGUUAGAGAAGAACAGCGCAUAGAGUAACUGUUAUGCGUGUGACGGUAUCUAACCAGAAAGCCACGGCUAACUACGUGCAAGCAGCCGCGGUAAUACGUAGGUGGCAAGCGUUGUCCGGAUUUAUUGGGCGUAAAGCGAGCGCAGGCGGUCAAUUAAGUCUGAUGUGAAAGCCCCCGGCUCAACCGGGGAGGGUCAUUGGAAACUGGUUGACUUGAGUGCAGAAGAGGAGAGUGGAAUUCCAUGUGUAGCGGUGAAAUGCGUAGAUAUAUGGAGGAACACCAGUGGCGAAGGCGACUCUCUGGUCUGUAACUGACGCUGAGGCUCGAAAGCGUGGGUAGCAAACAGG